CUUCUCACUCGUCUCUUUCAUCAUCCCGUCAAUAUUUAUUAAAUACAAAGCCGGUUACGCAAAAAAAAAAUAUAUUGAGAAUUUAAUAUUAGUCUUUCGUUUUUCUCUUUCUCUCAUCAUCUUUGUCUCCCUCAGCAACUUUUCUCUCUCCCACUCUCUCUCUCUCUCUCACUCACUUACUCUCUCCUGGUCUCACAGACACAGACAUUUUUUUCCAAGCUAAAUCCAGUUUCCAUUCAUGUUCAUAUGUCUCGAGUAGCCAACGAGUCAACGUUUUUCCUUUCCUUGUAUUAAUAACAUCACCAUCAACAUUAUCAUUAUUGUUAUGUAACAAUUUGUUACAACCAUAAUAAUAAUAAUAACUAUCAUUAUUAUCGUUAUCAACAUCCCAAUUAUCAUCACCCAGUGUCACCAAAGGGUUAAACAACAACAUCAACAACAACAAAUGAUUUAUCAAACCUCGUAAAGGAUUCAAACACAAUAAUCAAAAUGAUGUUCAUACAACAAAAACAAACAAACAACAACAACAAAUCAAUCAAGUUGAUCAUCAGGAAGCAACAAUUGUUUCAAUUCAUUUAUCGUUUGUAUAUUCAAAACAAACAAUUAACGUAAAUGAUUAAUAAUAAUGAUGGUGAUCCAUUUAAUGAGUUAUGGGAGUCGAUGAAGAGAAGCAAGAAAAUGUUUUAUAUUAAUAAUAAUAUGAAACAGUUGGAUAACAAUCAAGAAGAUUAAAUUAAUUUGUUUUCUAAUCAAAUAUAACAGUAAAUGGUUUCAUUAUUAUCCUCAUCUCAUCGUUAAACAAUAUUAGUUUGGAAACUUAAUAGAGUGAAACUAAUAAUCACUUCUUGCCUUGUUCCAUCAUCAUCAUCACCACCACCACCUCUUUCCUCCACAAACGCCUCCUCUCACUAUGAUCACUCAGUGUUUCCACUCUCCUCCUCCUCCUCCCACCAACAUCAUUUUUCAUUCAAGUCACUUUUACACCCAAUGUCUUUUUUCAAGUUACUCUCUCUCUCUCUCUCCCUCUCUCAAUCUUUGUGAUAGUAUUUUGUUUACUCAAUUGCCCAAUAGCUGAUUAACCUUACACAUACUUUGACAAUCGGAUUAAGGAUUGACUUUAAAUGACAACAAUCUUCUGUCAACUCAUGAAGAAAGUACAAAGUGGACUUUACAUAUUGACUAUUCAAGGAUCAUGAUGAAGACAUAAAAGACUGGUUAUCAUUUCUUGUUAUCUUGUCAACUAAUAUUUCUACUAUUACUUACUAUUCAUUGUCAUCUUUAUCUUCAUUACCAUCAGAAGCAGCUCCUGUUUUCCAUCAUUAUCAUCAUCAUGAGGAUUUUUAUUUCAAUAUCUGAUUCAAUGUCCACCUCAACCCAUAAGAGGAAAUUCUCAUCUUUCCAAUUCAAUCUCUUCUACAGGGAACAUAGAAAGUGAGAAAAAGAAUGUGCCUAAAGGAUGUCACCUCAUCUUCCACCUUCCUUGUCAUCUUCAUCUUUCUCAUUUCUCUCUAGCUGUGUAACACUUUCAUCAUCAAUUAAUAAUAAUCCAAAGUAAAUACACUUAAUCAUUAUGGUGAUUAGCGUGAUAAUCAACCAUAACUUGAUAGGAACAAUUAAUCAAUCAAAUAUUUCUGUAUAAAUUUUAAUCAUCAUGAAAAGGAUAAGUGAUUUGGACCAUUCAGACAAUUGGAUUAACUAAUUGUUUCAAUCUCAGAAGGGUGAAAACUAAUCAACAGGUUAGUAACGUUGGUUGGUUUUGAUGGUAAACCUUUGACAAAAUAAGUUUUCAUCAGUUACCUGGAUAUUGAAUAUAAACAACAAAAUGGAUGAACUAAAAGAUGACUUGGAAGAGAAGAGUGAGAGAGAGAGAGAGAGGUGAAAGGUGACACUGAGGACCCACUAAAAUGAAUGAAGAUACAAGGUAAAUAGAGAUCUAUGUUAUAAAGAAAUCAUAUAAAGAGAUAAAUGUUUGAUUUUCACAAGAAAAAGUAAUUCUCUUGCAAAAGGAGAACAUGUAAUAACUGUUAUAUUAUUAUUUCAUUUUUUUCCUCACCUUUAUCCUCAUCUUCAUCCUCUACUUGGAACUUCAACUUCGUCUAACUUUGUAUUAUAACUAACAGAGAGUUGACACUUUCCCUUCAAGCUUAAACUAAGUAUUUUCACCCCUGAUUGUUGACAAGUUGACAUGAUGCAAGUUUUACCUGUAAAAUUCAUGAUAUCCUGGAAAUUUCUCUCUUCCCCUUUUCUCUAUCCUGUUUUUUUUUAUCUUUUGCAAAAAGAAAUGAAAAUUUUUACUCCGAUUAUUUUGCUUAUAUGUUUGUUUCUAUCAAGGAAGUACAUAUUGAAUCUCCGAUCCUUAAUAGAAACAUUCACUUCUCUCUCUCUCUCUCACUUUUCAUGGUAAACUUUGCAUAUUUACACCGAGAAAAUAACCAGAGAAAAACUUAUUUUCUGCCAAAGAAAAACAUAAACAAUGUUACUGCAUAAAUCAAAUGUAAAAAUAACAAGAUUUAUGCAAAAACGAGUAACAUCAUCAUCUGAUUAUUUGGUUUUCGGGUUUACCAAAUGUAUAUAUUGUAAAUGUUGUUAUUUGAAAGGGUGAUGGUGCGAUGAUGAUACAAUAUUAUACACUGAGGGUGGAAAUUUCUUUGGUGAGAAAAUUGAAUUUUGAAUAGAAAGAGAGAGAGAGAGAGAGAAGGAGAGAAGUUAGUAGGAAAAGAGGCGAAAAUUUUGUCAAGAUAAAGAUGAAAGAGUAACAUGAUAGUCAUGAUAGAAACUGGACUGAGCACUUGGAAGGUUUUACCUGUGUAAGCCUUUCAAAUUUAGACAAUUGUAAGUUGAUGGUUGAAAAGAUAAAGGGAGAAGAUGAUGAUGAUGAAGAGAAAAAGUAACGGUAAAAAAAGAAGUUUGAACAAUAAGCAGGUAAAAUUAUCGAUUUUUGUCCUUUCGUUAUUUUCCAUCAUGAUGAUGUUCUUGAAUGAUGAGGUGAAAGUAGAAAUCGAUUUGUGACAUUCUCUAUCUCUCUCUCUUUCUUUCUUUCUUUUCCUUUCUCUCCUUUAUUUUUCUUCUUUUUUCAUCUUUCAAUGAUGAUGAUGAGAAAGUAAAGCUCACAUGAUGAUGAAUCGAUUGACAAACAAUCGAAAGAUUAACAAAGAAUCAGUCAAGGGCGGAAGGACAAUUGAGAAAUGAUGGUGAUGAUGAUGAUGAUGGUAUCACCAUCAUCAUGGAACUUGUGAUGAUUAUGAUGACGAUGAGGAGAAGAAAAAAAAACUCGAGUUGAUAGAAAGAGAUUGGAAAGAAAAAAAUUUUUAAAGAUGAAGAAAUGAAGAGGUGAAAAAUUGAAGUGACCCUCUUACAGAAUCAUGAUGGUGGUGAAGAGGUGGAGGUGAAGGUGGAUAAGAAGAUGAUGAUGAUGAUAACAUGUUCGGAAUAGUUUUUUAUCAUCUUCUUCCUGGAGAUUAUGAGUUAAAGUCUUUUAUUAUCUAGUAAAUGUAAUAUCAGACAAUUUGAAUGACCCAGGAUAGUUUUCAGCUCAUUCAUUUUUUUUCCUUCUCCUCCUCUAUUUUCAUGAUGAAAUUGAAAAGAUAACUCAAGUUAUCUUUUGAAUCUUCAUCAUGCUUAUCAUCAUCUUCAUCUUUAGAUUGUAAUAUAUAUAAAGGUACAUCUUCUCACUUCAAUUCUUGAUUCUUAUCGAUUCGAUUUUUCAGUUUUUUUCUUUCUUUUUUUUCAUUUCUCAUCAAAAAUGAUCAUGAUGAUUAUCUUCAUGAUGAUGAUUAAAGGAAGAUGAUUGUGUAGAUAUAUACUGAGCACGAAAGUCUUUGCUGCUCAAUCGUAAGUACAAGUUAUCAAUGCUUUAUCAUUUUCAUCUCUUUUUUUUAUUUCCAAAAGAAGAGAAGAAAAAAAUUACUUCAUCUUUUCAACAGAAACUCAAUUUCUCAGCAGAAAAAGUUAUUACUCUUGAACUUUCAAUCUACCUGAAAGUUAUGUUGUAUGAGAAAUUCAAUCAAAAUGAAGAAGAAGUAAAAAGUUUUCGUACAGAAAAAAUAAGAAAAAUGUUUCCAUGUUCAAUCGUAAUUAUUAUUUAUCAUCAGGCGAAAACUUUGUCAAAAAGAUUGUGCAAAAAUCAAAAAUUCUGGAACUUUUUGUGCCUUCUGUUGGGUGGCGCCAUCUCGUAGAGUUCAGCUCAACUUUGGUGGUGAAAAAUCUCAUGAUAAGUUAAACAUUUAGCGGAAUUAUUUCUCAGGUGAUGAUAAAAUUAAGAUGAUUCAGUUCUAAGGAUGAAAAAAAAGUGAUUGAUCUUAUGAAUUAUUAUUAUUAUUUUUCUUUUCAUAGGAUAACAAUUGAUUCCAUAAUCAUAUUGACCAUAAGUUUCUGAUGAUGAAAAUUUUCAUUUCGAUUAACUUUUUCUUUCUUUAUGUGUGUUGGUCUUAUUUCCUCCCCUGAAGAUAUUGAUGAUUUCACUUUUCUUUUCAUCAUCUUCAAGUAUA